rnacentral:rRNA from 1 species
UACGUAGGUGACAAGCGUUAUCCGGAAUUACUGGGCGUAAAGCGCACGCAGGCGGCUGCGUAAGUCUGACGUGAAAUCUCCCGGCUUAACCGGGAGCGGUCGUUGGAAACUAUGCGGCUUGAGGCGAUGAGAGGGGUGUGGAAUUCCCGGUGUAGUGGUGGAAUGCGUAGAUAUCGGGAGGAACAUCAGUGGCGAAAGCGGCACCCUGGCAUUAGCCUGACGCUCAGGUGCGAAAGCGUGGGGAGCGAACGGG